rnacentral:lncRNA from 1 species
GGUCAGGGGCCAGGGGGUCCCGCCUCUGCGCUGCUGCUGACCGGCUGUGCAAAUUGAGACGUGUGACUCCAUCUCUUCUGGCUCAGCACAGGUUAAACGGGGAUAAUAUUAACAUCCACCUCAAAGGAUGUGGGGACUGAAGGAGUUAACACUUGCCUGUGAAGAGCUUAAGAUAAUUCCUGGGACACAGCUGAGCCCUUAGUAAAUGUUAAAUGCGUUUUUAUUGUUUCUGUCUUGUUAAACUUUGUAAGUUACUAGGUCAUCUUAGGGCAGCUAUAGAAGCUGAAUUAUCUUAUUGUCAACGAGAGGUUAUUUAUUAGACAAUGUCUGUAAGCUUCAAAUUCCGCUUCAUUGGUCCAGAUGAGACGAGAAACACCGUGACGUGAUGACCUCAGCAGGCGGCCCUGGAGUGCGUGUCUCGCAGAGACCAGCUCUCAUCACACGUGCUUUCUGCCUCCACGCAGUUCAUGCCUUCAGAACUCCACUAAUUUUUUUUUCUAAAGCUGCUAUUGGAGAUGACCAUUUCACUCAGCCAAGGUCGUCACCUUGGCUGAGAAGGAGGAGGAGUCUGGAACUGUGGCACCAGGAAGUGACGUUUCUCCUGUAGGCCUGUGGAGCAUGGCUGCUUCUGACCAACAGUCGCUGUCCCACAGACUCCUGCAUGGAACAGGCCAUAUGGCAUUAACACCGCGGGAGCCGAAGUCAAUUGAGAAUCCAAAGGCAGGAAGGCCUCCCUGAACUCUCCUUAUCUGUCCAAAAGCAAAGCCUUGCAAAGAACUCAGCUGUCAUAAAUCCCCUCCCUGGGAGUUUCACAACUUUUAUCACUGGAGAUGGUAUCACUGGGAUAAGAGAUCACCUAAAGAGACCUUCAUUCCAUACUCCAAGGCCAAAUUUGCCUGUUACUCCAGGUGUUUC